GUGGGGAAUUUUGGACAAUGGGCGCAAGCCUGAUCCAGCAAUGCCGCGUGCAGGAAGAAGGCCUUCGGGUUGUAAACUGCUUUUGUACGGAACGAAACGGUCCUGGUUAAUACCUGGGGCUAAUGACGGUACCGUAAGAAUAAGCACCGGCUAACUACGUGCCAGCAGCCGCGGUAAUACGUAGGGUGCGAGCGUUAAUCGGAAUUACUGGGCGUAAAGCGUGCGCAGGCGGUGCUGUAAGACAGGCGUGAAAUCCCCGGGCUCAACCUGGGAAUUGCGCUUGUGACUGCAGUGCUGGAGUACGGCAGAGGGGGAUGGAAUUCCGCGUGUAGCAGUGAAAUGCGUAGAUAUGCGGAGGAACACCGAUGGCGAAGGCAGUCCCCUGGGCCUGUACUGACGCUCAUGCACGAAAGCGUGGGGAGCAAACAGGAUUAGAAACCCUUGUAGUCC
rnacentral:rRNA from 1 species